CCUAAUCACCGGAUGCCCGCGGGACCAAUCAGAGCGCAGGGACCGGUAUAAACAAACCACAGUAGUCUCCUCCCUCCUAUCGCCCUCUUGGCCAGGUGACGGAACUGUGUCAGUCUUCCGCGUCAUUCACCCUGCAUGGUUGUUCGGCGCUGCUACAGAUCCCCGGCUGUCGGAGCCGCGUAGCUCCCUAACAUAGAGCGACCGCCACGAAGCUUGCCGAGCGGCGUGAUUGCCCGAGCUGUCUCCUCCACGGCGACGUCAGUGACUUGUUCAAUUGGGACUGGGCGGUCGUACCGGAGGAUCUUGGCCACCGUUAGCAGUCCAACUAGCUGCUGUUUUGCCUAUACGCCUUGCGUACAUGUGUUUUUUUGGACUGCGUUGCCUCAAUCGUUUUGGGCCGGACCGCCUACACUGUUUUGCUCGGACGGCUUUACCCGGAUGAACAAUUUUAGCGUGACGUUCGAUCUUCCCCUUGACUUAUUGGGACGACGGAGUUAUCUUGUUUUCUUUAUUGUUUAGUUUGUUCUGUAUUUUUGUUUCUUUAUAACCGGGUGAGUGAACCCGGUUGUAUGUACGCGUGUUUAACGUUUUGUUGUUUCUUUAUUCUUUUUUUUUAGAGCUGAACGCCGAAGGUGGUGGUGUGGUGUCCCGGUGGUGGUAUCCCUUUGCUCGUUUGCUGUGGUCUUUCGUUUUCAUUUGUUUUGCUGUGCUCACUAUUUCGUUUUUGUGUUCACGGGUGUCUUCUCCUGAAACCUCCCCCGCUGCCCUCGUGUCCCCUCCACAACCACUGGAUUCACUGACCGUCCGUCAGGCUCCAGGGGACCGUCCGGGGAAAGGGCCCUUUCCAGCAUCACUAGCUGAUGAUCCUGCCUCAUACCUCCUUAGACAAGAAAGGACCGGCGGAAACCAGAGGAGUCCUGAUUGACGUCACGUGUAUCCAGCGAAAAAGAAUUAAUUUCUACAGACUCUGGUAAGAAGUUGAAAUUCCGAUUAUAAAGUAACAGUAAAGAGUUGAACAUAACGGAAACGGAUGACUGAUCAAGUGGUUGUUAUAGUCUGGGGAAUACAAUUAUCUUUUUUUUAUUGUUCAGUACAUGAUUCUGGGAUAUUUCUAAUGCAUCAUUUUAUGCGAAGGUAGAUAGGAUCGUAUACGAUUUCACUCGGAACAAAUUCUCCGAGAUCGUAACAUCGCUAGACUACAAGUAGAA